GAGGAGCAAGCAGCCAAGACCCAGAAUCCUACGCAGACAAACAAGACGAUAAGUGAGAACAUCUCAGAAUAUAGGAAUGAUGAGUUGCACUGCCAAUCACAAUUUAUUGCACAUGGUAAACAAAGGUAGAUGCAUUGUAUACUAUAGUAGUUGCCAGAAUGAACCAGAAUGAGGAAUAUGCUGUGAUAUGGAACCCAAGCACAAGAACAUAAUUAAGAGAUCACAGGGCUUGAGAUGAAGAAUAUCAUUUUACAAUUAUAGAAAAAAAAAUGCAAUUCAUUUGUGUUUUGUUCCAUGCAAUAAAAUUAAGUUCAAUGUUCUUCAUAUGAAAUGACAAAGCUUCAGAAUACAGUCGCCUUCUCUCUCUCUCUCUCUCUC
rnacentral:misc_RNA from 1 species